GACGUAGGGCGCGAGCGUUUGUCCGGAUUUAUUGGGCGUAAAGAGCUCGUAGGCGGCUUGUCGCGUCGUCCGUGAAAACCCACAGCUCAACUGUGGGCUUGCGGUCGAUACGGGCAGGCUAGAGUUCGGUAGGGGGAGACUGGAAUUCCUGGUGUAGCGGUGAAAUGCGCAGAUAUCAGGAGGAACACCGGUGGCGAAGGCGGGGUCUCUGGGGCCGAUACUGACGCUGAGGAGCGAAAAGCGUGGGGGAGCGAACAGG
rnacentral:rRNA from 1 species